ensembl:lncRNA
AUGAGGAGGAAGCUUCAUAUGACUACAAUAUCAUACAAGCCAAAACAGGAACACAGGUGUAAGCCUUAUGCCAAAGAGUUCAUUAAAAGGAGAGUAAUUCGGGAAGAAGACUGUCACUGGAUCAGGGAGCAUGAGGUUAGCUGAGGAAGGGUUCCACAAACCAAAGACAAAACCACAGGAAGGAACAGCUUCUUUAUCCUCCCUCUGGAUAUUACCAUCUGCGCUGUGAAGCCUUGAAAUCUUGAAGCCAUCUUAUUUGUCUGAAGAUAAAGUUGGCCCACAGAACUCAGCAUUGCAGCAUUAAGACAAUCCCAAAGCCAUUUUCCUCUUGGAUGUCUAUUUAUAUGAGAGAAGAAGCCAGCUUUCAUUGGGUUUUCUAUUCCUUAUAAUCUAAGCGGGGGUCUGCAAACUUCACAAAAGGUCCUGUUAGUAAAUAUUUUAGUUUUUAGUAAAACUAAAGGCUCUGAGGAUCACACAAUCUCUGUUAUUGAGCUCUACCAUUUCAUUGCAAAAGGCAAUACGUAAACAGAGUCACAACUGUUUUCCAGUACAUCUUUAUUCACAAAACUAGGCCAUUAGGAUAUGCUCCCAUGUUUUCUUCUGUAACUUUUGUAGUGUGAAGAUUUACAUUAAAGUCUUUGAUCCAUUUUGAGUUAAUUUUGGCAUAAAAGACAAGGUAUGGGUAUGAUCCAGCACCAUUUGUUGAAAAGACCAUUCUUUCUCCACUUAAUUGCUUCUGUCUUUGCCAAAAAUUCAUUGAUCAUAUGUGUAUAAGUCACUUCUGGAUCCUCCAUUCUUGUACAUUGAUUAGCCUUUUAAUAUUACACUGCUGAUUACCAUAGAUUUUUUUAAAAUCUUAAAAUUAGAUCGUGUAAAAGCCUUCCAAAUUUGCUCCUCUUUUCCAAUAGUAUUUACUCAUUGUCAUAUAAAUUUUAAGAUCAGUUCAUCAAUUCCUACCAAAAAAUUGAGAAUUUUGAUUGGAAUUGUGUUGAAUUUAUAGAUUAUUUUGGGGAGAACUGUUAUCUUAACAGUAUUGAGUUUUUUGAUCCAGGAACAUGAUAUAGCUAACAAUUUAUUUGCAUUUUCUUUUAUUUCUGUAGGUAGUGUUUUAUGGUUUUGAGUAUACAGGUCUGACACAUCUUUUGUUAGAUGUGCCACUAUGUAUAUAAUAUUAUUGAUGCUAUUAUAAAUGGUAUUUUAAUUUUCAAUUUCUGAUUAUUUGUUGCUAUUAUAUAGAUUUUUUAUAUGUCAAUCUUGUGUUCUAUGAUCUUGCUAAACUUGCUUUUUAGUUCUAGUAGCAUGUUUAUACAUUUCACAGAAUUUUCUACAUAGAUGAUGAUAUCACCUAUGAAUAGAUUAUUUUAGCUCUUAUUUUACAAUCAGGAUCCUUGUAAUAUCUUUUUCUUACCCUACACACUGUUUAGGACCUUCCAGUACAGCAUUAGAUUUUCUGUAUCUCUCUUACAUUUGCACUUCAAAGAUAUACACAUUCUCCAAAAGAACCCUACACUUAGAAUUCAGAAGAUUUCUGUUGCUGAAACUGACCAGUAUUAAUUGGGAAUUAAUUAAUCAAACUAAUUUUACCUGGGUGUAGCUUAUUUGAAAUUUUGUAUGUUAUUAAGUGAAAAACAUUGUACCACAGAAAUACUUAUUUGUGUGUGUGCAUGUAUGUACAGAGAGAAACUUAUCUCUAUGUUUUAAAAAACAUGUCUGAGCAUGUUAUGCAAGUAUCACUGUGGGCCUGUGUGUGCUCAAGCUCUGUCUAGCUGAGUGUGCCAAAAUGCACUCUACAUUGUGAACUCUAUUUACCUGAAGAGAAAGAAGUAUUAUUAGAGGUGGGGCAUAGAGAAAAAUCUCAUAUUUUACAACAUAAAAUUUAAUAAUAUUUUGACCUUUUUAUAAUGAGGCUUAUCAGUCCUGCAAUUUAACAUAGGCAUUUAAAAAACAAAAGCAACAAAAUAGACGGAAGUUAAACAAAUAAUAGAGAGUGAUUUUUAAAGAGGGUGUCUCAGGAAAAUAUGUUAUGGUAUAUUUCAUGUUCUUCUAUGUGAUCCUCUGCAUUUUUUUGUUAAAAUGAACAUGUAUUGUGAAAAGAAAAGGUCUUUUCCUUAAUUCUAAAAAUGUGCCCAUGAGAAACUGUCAAUGCACCAAAAACACUACUAAAGAUAAGCAAUAUUAUCCAGAUUGCCAACACGAGCUGAUUAAAGAAAACUAAAUUCUAAGCUACUGGAAUAAACUGCCAGAAUCUAUUUCCAAAACCUGAAAUGCUUUCUCUGAAAUUCAAAGUAGCAAAACGUCAUCCUAGAUUCUUACGGGGAUUUAAUUUUAAUAAAACACACUGACCUUCAGUCAGCAUUCAUUUCUACACUGACUCUUUUAUAAAGGUUUUAGAAUAAUAUCAAAAAUAUCCAAGCAAAAUUAACAUUCAUUUCUCGUGUAUUUUGAGUAAAGCUAUUCAUGUCUUCUAAAUGCACAAUCCUUGUUAUACAUAUAACAUUUAUUGCUAUAUGCCUCUCUAAAAACAAGUAAAAAAUAAAGAUUCUACUUUUCAUUAUAUGGCUACUCUUUAAUUUUUUUUAAUUUAAAUACACACACACAUUCAUUAGUCUUAUUGAUUAGGGUCAAUCAAGGUUGUCUUAGGCCAUAGUAAUGCAAGGUGUAAUGUUAUUGCUAUUUUUGCAAAACCUUUAGAAAUGUUACUCUUUCAGUCCUGUCUUUAAACAACACAUUUCCUGAACUUCAUGUGUAUUACUAGCAUUGCUUUUUAAUGUUCAAAACUACAUAGAACCAACACAAGGAACUGUUUCUGGCUCAUUCUGUACCUGCUCUUGGCAUCCCAGGCUACCCUUUCCUUCAAUGUAACCUUGACAUUGGCUCAUAUGCAUAAUGUUAGAUAAUUUUUAAAUUAGGAGUCUUAGAUCUCAGGAAUGGUUUGAAAGUCAAGAUCAAAGUGUGGAUUUUAUUCCUUUAAAUACCCAGGAUUUCUAAGCCAGUGCUGGUGUGAAAGCUCUCGUCUACAAAAUCUCUGGGGAUCCUGGCUCCUUUCAGGUCACCGUGCCACCAUCCCCAAGGUUAUCCCUCUGUCUUGGUGUUCAAAUUUGGCAGCUUCAUAGUCCAACCACCCAGAGGAGAGGGAAGAAUGAUGGAGUGGGACAAAAUGUUUGCUAGAAAGUGAUAUGACAUUUUCUCUGACAUUCCGCUAGCCAUAAUUCAGUCACAUGGCCACACCUAAAUGCCAGGAAGACUGAGAAAUAUAAUCCUUAUUUUUGUUGUAAAAAUUAGCUAAAAUUCUACCAAAGUGAAAUGAGGUACUGAUUAGUAUCAGGGGGAAAUAUUACCCUGCCCCUUUGACCCACUUUUACUUCAAGACUUAAGCUUAUCCAUCAACCUACUAAUUCAGUGAUUCAGCC